GGAGUGCUUGCACUCCUGAUGCUUAGCGGCGGACGGGUGAGUAAUACGUAGGUAACCUGCCCUUAAGACCGGGAUAACUCACGGAAACGUGGGCUAAUACCGGAUAGGCGAUUUCCUCGCAUGAGGGAAUCGGGAAAGGCGGAGCAAUCUGCCACUUAUGGAUGGACCUACGGCGCAUUAGCUAGUUGGUGGGGUAACGGCUCACCAAGGCGACGAUGCGUAGCCGACCUGAGAGGGUGAUCGGCCACACUGGGACUGAGACACGGCCCAGACUCCUACGGGAGGCAGCAGUAGGGAAUCUUCCGCAAUGGACGCAAGUCUGACGGAGCAACGCCGCGUGAGUGAUGAAGGUUUUCGGAUCGUAAAGCUCUGUUGCCAGGGAAGAACGCUAUGGAGAGUAACUGUUCCAUAGGUGACGGUACCUGAGAAGAAAGCCCCGGCUAACUACGUGCCAGCAGCCGCGGUAAUACGUAGGGGGCAAGCGUUGUCCGGAAUUAUUGGGCGUAAAGCGCGCGCAGGCGGUCAUGUAAGUCUGGUGUUUAAACCCGGGGCUCAACUCCGGGUCGCAUCGGAAACUGUGUGACUUGAGUGCAGAAGAGGAAAGUGGAAUUCCACGUGUAGCGGUGAAAUGCGUAGAGAUGUGGAGGAACACCAGUGGCGAAGGCGACUUUCUGGGCUGUAACUGACGCUGAGGCGCGAAAGCGUGGGGGAGCAAACAGGAUUAGAUACCCUGGUAGUCCACGCCGUAAAACGAUGAAUGCUAGGUGUUAGGGGUUUCGAUACCCUUGGUGCCGAAGUUAACACAUUAAGCAUUCCGCCUGGGGAGUACGGUCGCAAGACUGAAACUCACAGGAAUUGACGGGGACCCGCACAAGC
rnacentral:rRNA from 1 species